GGGCUGCUUGGGAGUGCAGCCUGAAGCGGGUGGUAAAUUCCAUCUAAAGCUAAAUACUGGCGGGAGACCGAUAGCGAACAAGUACCGUGAGGGAAAGAUGCAAAGAACUUUGAAAAGAGAGUUAAAGAGUGCUUGAAAUUGGCAGGAGGAAACCCGGUUGCGCGUGGCAUUUGGCGUGGUCGACUCAGCCGCGCGCGGAGAUCUGUAGGGGACCUAACGGCCUCGUGGUCAGCGCGCGCGGUGCACUUCGGCCGCGUCGGUCAGCCGCGUUUCUGCGCGGCCCAGACGGCCGUGGGCAGGGCUUCGGCGCCGCCUGCGGUUUGGGGGUCGCGCGGGAUCCCGGCUGAUGCGCACGGGCGCAACCGACCCGUCUAGAAACACGGACCAAGGAGUCUGACGCGUGUGCGAGUACUAGAGUGGCAAGCUCGAGUGCGCAAUGAAAGUGAAGGGCGUGCCCCGUCAACCGAUCUUGAUCUUCUGUGAAGGGUUUGAGUGGAGCACAUCUGUCGGGACCCGAAAGAUGGUGAACUAUGCCUGAGGAGGGUGAAGCCAGAGGAAACUCUGGUGGAGGCUCGUAGCGAUACUGACGUGCAAAUCGUUCGUCGAACUUGGGUAUAGGGGCGAA
rnacentral:rRNA from 1 species